rnacentral:rRNA from 1 species
UACGAAGGGGGCUAGCGUUGUUCGGAAUUACUGGGCGUAAAGGGCGCGUAGGCGGUGUGUCAAGUCAGGCGUGAAAGCCCCGGGCUCAACCUGGGAACCGCGCUUGAGACUGGCACGCUAGAGUUCGGGAGAGGAUGGUGGAAUUCCCAGUGUAGAGGUGAAAUUCGUAGAUAUUGGGAAGAACACCGAUGGCGAAGGCAGCCAUCUGGACCGACACUGACGCUGAGGCGCGAAAAGCGUG